rnacentral:rRNA from 1 species
GAUGAACACUGGCGGCGUGCCUAAUACAUGCAAGUCGAGCGAACGGACGAGAAGCUUGCUUCUCUGAUGUUAGCGGCGGACGGGUGAGUAACACGUGGAUAACCUACCUAUAAGACUGGGAUAACUUCGGGAAACCGGAGCUAAUACCGGAUAAUAUUUUGAACCGCAUGGUUCAAAAGUGAAAGACGGUCUUGCUGUCACUUAUAGAUGGAUCCGGGCUGCAUUAGCUAGUUGGUAAGGUAACGGCUUACCAAGGCAACGAUGCAUAGCCGACCUGAGAGGGUGAUCGGCCACACUGGAACUGAGACACGGUCCAGACUCCUACGGGAGGCAGCAGUAGGGAAUCUUCCGCAAUGGGCGAAAGCCUGACGGAGCAACGCCGCGUGAGUGAUGAAGGUCUUCGGAUCGUAAAACUCUGUUAUUAGGGAAGAACAUAUGUGUAAGUAACUGUGCACAUCUUGACGGUACCUAAUCAGAAAGCCACGGCUAACUACGUG